UUCCCUUUUAAAACAGUCAAGAGAUGUUGUCACAUUUUCUAUUAAUAUUCUCAUUCUCUAUUGUUACAUAUUCUAUUAAUAUUCUCUCAUUUUCUAUUAAUUUGUUUAGUAAUUCCCUACUCAGCAUACGCCUGUUAAGGAACCUCUUUAUAGGGUGUGAAACAUUCCAUUUUUUCCUCCUCUAGUCCAGGAAAACUAAGCACAACCUGAAGCCAUGAAUUUCGUUCUGGAGCAGAAUGCAUCCACAAGCAGAUGUCAAUACUGUUCUGCCUAAAUCCUGUUGUGGAAUUUGGUCUGAAAGCAUUUCUGAUCAUCAGUGGAAGAAUUGUGAGAUUCUGCCUCGGGAGAGGAAGUGGCCAGAAGGCUGUGCGGUGCCAGAGCAUUGCCAGGCAGCUCGAGAGGGAGGCAGAGGUAGAGCCCAAGUGGGAGACAGAGAGAGAAAAUGAUAAUGCCAAGACUCUCCAUAAGAAAUCGAAACUUGGAAAUGGACUGAUUUCUUAGGAACCAGAGGAUGGGAAGGCCCGUAACUGCGCCCAACGGGACACCCCCCCACAAGCAUUUCUGUGUGCCUGCCCUAUCCCUCCAGCUCUUAAUCCUCCUGCCCACCUGAGCCAAGCAAACCACUGGG
rnacentral:lncRNA from 1 species